AUUUUGUAAAAUCUAAAAAUUCAUCAGAAGAGGUAUUAGUGCCAAAACCUUUCUGAAUUCUUCACUUUCUGCUGACGAAAAAACUAAUGU